UGGCGUCACUGCUGAGCGCAGCGGGAGAGAUGCGGCGUGUCUGGCGGCUCGGCUGGAGGGUGCUGCGGGGCUUUGGCCGGCCCAAUGCCUUGAGCAAAAGCAGAAAGGUGGGUUGUUGUGGUGGUUUUGUGGUGCUUGAGCGGUUUCGAGGCUGUUUGUAUGCGUAGGUGAGUGAGAAACGAGGCGUGUGGACUGAGUCCCGUAAGGUAAGGCACUGUCUGUGCCUGGGAUGUCUUGAGGGGUGCAGAUAGCCCACAGGACCAAGAUAAGAAACCUGAGAGCUCUACAAACACAGUGAUGAGCUGAGCCAAAGACUCCACCCGGGAGAAGCAACUGAGUGUUCACGGAAAGGACUCAAGAAAUCUGCAAAACACCUCUUCAGCAACCACUAGGAACCACCAGAAACCCCAUGGAGGACCCUCAGAGACUCAGACCGCGUGAAAACUCGGUGUGACAGAUGUUGGUUUGGAUUCUUCACCCUGGGUGUGUGUAUUCAAGCCUUAAAGAGGAAAUGGAGGUGAAGAAGCUGGGAAAGCAGCCACUGUGCCCAGAAGGGAAUCUCCCAGCCACAGCACCCUGCAUCUUCCCCUUUGACAUAUGAGGGAGUUCAGGGACAGAAAUCGGGGAAGAUGAAUCGAGACCUCGAGAGCCACCUGCUGGCACUUCUACCAGCCGAGGGGAUGGAAGGACAAGGGCAGGCGUGCCUGACUCCACAGACAGCCUGAAGCCAGGCACCAAAGUUUUGGGGGGUUUGCUGUGGUUUGUGAGCAGCCCUUUCAGAAGUGCUUGCCAAGGUCAGAGUACAGCUUGCAGCUUGUCAAUGGGAUUAAUGCUCCUUAUCUUGUCCUUGCUCUGGCAAAUAUCCCAUUUCCCUGACUAGGAGUAGGACAUCACACCUACCCUGGGAAUGAAUUAUCUCACUGGAGGCUUUCAUGGAUAGGUUUGAGGCACCCUCACAGGAUUGGGACAGUUGAGGGUGGCUGAUCUUCCUCUCUCUUUAGGAUGCACACCAGACACUUUAACAUCCUGGAGUCCUUUCAGCUGAGAACCAUAAGACCUGUUACCACUGAGAGCAAACUGGAAGAUGGGAGAGAGAAACUUUUGCCUUCCCUUUAACUCUUGGAUACAGCACUAAUUGUAAUUCCUCUGUUAUUUAUUAAAGAUGAAAGUUCUGA